AGGUGUGAGGUCACACCACAACUCUCACCUCACUAAUUUCUGUGGUGGAGUAGACAGGUCUGAGAUAACUAAAAUGACUCCUUCCCCCCUCCUCACCAUUUAUGAGUAUUCCUUCCAAAGUGGCAUUCUUGGUCAAUGAAGAGGACCUUCCCUGAUAGCAGAAGUCCAUUUUUUGGGGGUCAAGGGUUUAUGUGUACCUGUGCUCCCCUGCUAAAAAGACCCAAUAGACUGUCAAGGUUCAACUCCCUCACAGAGAUGCAAGACUUGGCAUACCCUAAACUGAACCCACAGUCUCA
rnacentral:snRNA from 1 species